UUCGACAGAAGGCAUGGAGGAGCAGUGGUUCCAAGCAGCAGAAAUCUCCCAAUUAGGGGACAAGAUGCCCCGGGGAUCAAGCAGAGUUAGAGCCAAGAAAUGGAGAAACUGAAGCCCAGAGAAAUGGAGUGACUGGUUCAAUUAGGUCAAGUAGGUGAUAAAGAAAUUAUGGCCCCAAGAAGUUGUAAAAGAACUUGCCCAUGGUUAGUGAGGAACCAAGACUAGGAGCCCAUCAUCACAGAAUCACAGAAAAGCAGAGUAAGAGGCCUUCUUGAUGGUCCUCCAGCACUCUGACAGCAUCCUGAGUCACCAGGAACAGCCCAUGUUAAUUUCCAGGACCCAUCCUUUACUGAGAGCUUACAACUUCCAUUCUUAGGUGGUAAAACUAGAAACAAUCUUUAAGAUCAAUUGCUUCAACCCCUCACUUUAGAUAUGAAAAGAUUGAAGCUGGAGCUGGAAGGGACCUUGGAGAUCACUGAAUUUGACCCACUCAAGACCUUCCUCUGAAAUUCUCUUGAUAAGGUUAGCUCUUAAUCAAAGUUAACUCCUUGCCCUGGAUGCCCAUUGGAGCAAUGGCACACAGUUAAGGAUUAUUGAUUGAGUCAUGGGUAAUAAUACAGCUGACCUAGAGAAAAUUAUGACUGACAAAAGAAAACUGGAGAUGACUCCAGUUCCUUGGAAGCCUCUAGUUGAUCAAGUAUCUCUUUCAAAGAAUAAAGUGUUAUCAAUAAAUCA